CUCAAUAUGAUGAGAACUGACAAAUCUGACUUUGGUUAGAUUUGACCUAUUUUUGGAAAAAUCUAAAUAUACCAAAACUGCAAAAAGGAUGUUUGCAUUAAGCGAGGCAUAUGUCUGAUUGAGGG
rnacentral:snoRNA from 1 species